CAUGGCUCAGAUUGAACGCUGGCGGUAUGCUUAACACAUGCAAGUCGAACGGUAACAGGCUUUCGGGCGCUGACGAGUGGCGGACGGGUGAGUAACGCGUAGGAAUCUGCCUUAUAGUGGGGGACAACGUGGGGAAACCCACGCUAAUACCGCAUACGCCCUACGGGGAAAGGCGGGGAGUCUUAGGACCUCGCGCUAUGAGAUGAGCCUGCGUUAGAUUAGCUAGUUGGUAGGGUAAAGGCCUACCAAGGCGACGAUCUAUAGCUGGUCUGAGAGGACGAUCAGCCACACUGGGACUGAGACACGGCCCAGACUCCUACGGGAGGCAGCAGUGGGGAAUAUUGGACAAUGGGCGCAAGCCUGAUCCAGCAAUACCGCGUGUGUGAAGAAGGCCUAGGUGUAAG
rnacentral:rRNA from 1 species